AAGCAAAGCCCAAAAAAAGGACGGUCCCACGUUCGGAUUGCAGCCUGCAACUCGGCUGCAUGAAGCUGGAAUCGCUAGUAAUCGCAGAUCAGAAUGCUGCGGUGAAUACGUUCCCGGGUCUUGUACACACCGCCCGUCACACCAUGGGAGUUGGGAAUGCCCGAAGUCAGUGACCCAACCGCAAGGAGGGAGCUGCCGAAGGCAGGCUUGAUAACUGGGGUGAAGUCGUAACAAGGUACC
rnacentral:rRNA from 1 species